GGAAUAUUGCGCAAUGGGCGAAAGCCUGACGCAGCAACGCCGCGUGAGGGAUGAAGGCCUUCGGGUUGUAAACCUCUUUUAGCAGGGAAGAAGCGAAAGUGACGGUACCUGCAGAAAAAGCACCGGCUAACUACGUGCCAGCAGCCGCGGUAAUACGUAGGGUGCAAGCGUUAUCCGGAAUUAUUGGGCGUAAAGAGCUCGUAGGCGGUUUGUCGCGUCUGCUGUGAAAAUCUGAGGCUCAACCUCGGACUUGCAGUGGGUACGGGCAGACUAGAGUGCAGUAGGGGAGAAGGGAAUUCCUGGUGCAGCGGUGGAAUGCGCAGAUAUCAUGAGGAACACCAAUGGCGAAGGCACUUCUCUGGGCUGUAACUGACGCUGAGGAGCGAAAGCGUGGGGAGCGAACAGGAUUAGAUACCCUGGAAGUCCACGCCGUAAACGUUGGGCGCUAGAUGUGGGUCACAUUCCACGUGAUCCGUGUCGCAGCUAACGCAUUAAGCGCCCCGCCUGGGGAGUACGGCCGCAAGGCUAAAACUCAAAGGAAUUGACGG
rnacentral:rRNA from 1 species